AUGGUUCUUUCCCAGACUUCCCCACUGCUCUCCACAGAAAUGCCGUCACAUUCCCCGUCUGCUUCAGGCCAAGCGGUCUCCAACUCAAACAUUUUGGAAACACUGUCCAAUGAAACAGCCAACAGGACUCAAGUUUUCUGCUGGGAAAAAAUGGAAAGAACAUAAAAACGUCAUUCCUCGCUGGACAUGGAAAGGACUCUCAGGAAAUGGGAAAAGGGCUCAAUAGAAAUUAUCCUAAAAACAACAGAAGCAGAGGGCAGCUUUAAGACCCCACGGAGAGAAAGCUCAAGGCGGGUUACAUCACUAUGUGCUAAAACACAUAAUCGAAACAUAAUCAUUUAAAAAGUGUAAAACACAAGACGAAUUAUGUCAAAGAGGAUUUAUUCUUACGCUGCAAGGGCACAGGAC